GAUGAACGCUGGCGGCGUGCUUAACACAUGCAAGUCGAACGAAGCACUUUAUUUGAUUUCCUUCGGGACUGAAGAUUUUGUGACUGAGUGGCGGACGGGUGAGUAACGCGUGGGUAACCUGCCUCAUACAGGGGGAUAACAGCUGGAAACGGCUGCUAAUACCGCAUAAGCGCACAGUGCUGCAUGGCACAGUGUGAAAAACUCCGGUGGUAUGAGAUGGACCCGCGUCUGAUUAGCCAGUUGGCAGGGUAACGGCUACCAAAGCGACGAUCAGUAGCCGACCUGAGAGGGUGACCGGCACAUUGGGACUGAGACAGGCCCA
rnacentral:rRNA from 1 species